AGAGAGAGACAUGCGCGCAUAUCAAUAAGCGGAGGAAAAGAAACUAACUAGGAUUCCCCUAGUAACGGCGAGUGAAGCGGGAAGAGCUCAAAUUUGAAAUCUUAAAGGGUUUCCCUUUACGAAUUGUAGUUUAAAGAAGUGUUUUCUGUUGAGGUUUUGGUAAAAGUUCUUUGGAAUAGGACAUCAUAGAGGGUGAGAAUCCCGUAUUUGACCUUUACUUUCAACUUUGUGAUACACUUUCAAAGAGUCGGAUUGUUUGGGAAUGCAGUCCAAAAUGGGUGGUAAAUUUCAUCUAAAGCUAAAUAUUGGCGAGAGACCGAUAGCGAACAAGUACCGUGAGGGAAAGAUGAAAAGAACUUUGAAAAGAGAGUUAAACAGUACGUGAAAUUGUCAAAAGGGAAGCGUUUGACACCAGUGUUGUUUUUCUGAAAAUCAAUUAAAGAACUGUUUAUGCUAAGCUGUUUAGACUUUAUCAGCUAACUGUUUAGUUUUGAGCUUUUCUUUAAUGCACUUUUCAGUUAACAAGUCAACAUCAAUUUCUUUUGCUGUAAAAAAGCUUGAGGAAGGUGGCUUGAGAUUCGUCUUAAGUGUUUAUAGCCUCUUGCCUAUGCAGUCGGAGAGAUUGAGGUCUGCAGCGUAGAUCCUUCGGGGCUAAAUGCAUUUGUGCUAAGUUAUAGCAUUUUAUAGACAACUUGUUGACUAUGAUUUGUCUUGUAGCUUACUCGCUUAUGUUAUUUUACCUACGCUUAGGAUGUUGAUGUGAUACUGCGAGC
rnacentral:rRNA from 1 species